CCCUCAGGCUUUCAGUAAAGCCCUUUUAUAGGAAAGGUGAGCGAGGGGCGUGCUUAGUUGGUGCAAACUUCUUGGUGUCAGAUCCUUUGUUCCUGAGGUCAGAGAACGAUGUUCCUGUAAACCUCCACCGAAACAAAUGUUAUUCUCUGUUCUGACGAGAAAG